AGGAAUUGGAUCAGAGGUGUGAGGAACUACUAAAAGAGGAGUUUGGGGAGAGCUGCAACUUUGACGUGGAUGAUGCACUUGCAAAGCUACAGAACUUGAAAGUUCUUACUAAGGAUCCUACUGGGAAAUAUGCCUGUGUGGGAUUAGCGCGUGCUAAUGAUAUAAUUGGUGUGACCACUGAAGAAGUAGUGCUCAAGGCAAGACAGGGUGCCAUGUCAUCUUGAUUUGUGGAGAUUUCAGCCUUGGUGGGAGGGCAUGUGUUGUUGCAUUGGUCUUAAGUUGAAUAUCAAGUAAUCAACA